AAUGCAGUCGAGCGGACCGACGGGAGCUUGCUCCCUUAGGUCAGCGGCGGACGGGUGAGUAACACGUGGGUAACCUGCCUGUAAGACUGGGAUAACUCCGGGAAACCGGGGCUAAUACCGGAUGCUUGAUUGAACCGCAUGGUUCCAAUCAUAAAAGGUGGCUUUCAGCUACCACUUACUGAUGGACCCGCGGCGCAUUAGCUAGUUGGUGAGGUAACGGCUCACCAAGGCGACGAUGCGUAGCCGACCUGAGAGGGUGAUCGGCCACACUGGGACUGAGACACGGCCCAGACUCCUACGGGAGGCAGCAGUAGGGAAUCUUCCGCAAUGGACGAAAGUCUGACGGAGCAACGCCGCGUGAGUGAUGAAGGUUUUCGGAUCGUAAAACUCUGUUGUUAGGGAAGAACAAGUACCGUUCGAAUAGGGCGGCACCUUGACGGUACCUAACCAGAAAGCCACGGCUAACUACGUGCCAGCAGCCGCGGUAAUACGUAGGUGGCAAGCGUUGUCCGGAAUUAUUGGGCGUAAAGCGCGCGCAGGCGGUUUCUUAAGUCUGAUGUGAAAGCCCCCGGCUCAACCGGGGAGGGUCAUUGGAAACUGGGGAACUUGAGUGCAGAAGAGGAGAGUGGAAUUCCACGUGUAGCGGUGAAAUGCGUAGAGAUGUGGAGGAACACCAGUGGCGAAGGCGACUCUCUGGUCUGUAACUGACGCUGAGGCGCGAAAGCGUGGGGAGCGAACAGGAUUAGAUACCCUGGUAGUCCACGCCGUAAACGAUGAGUGCUAAGUGUUAGAGGGUUUCCGCCCUUUAGUGCUGCAGCAAACGCAUUAAGCACUCCGCCUGGGGAGUACG
rnacentral:rRNA from 1 species